GGUUCCAUAACGUAGCAGUUAGCAUGUCUGCUUUACAUGCAGAAGGUCCUGAGUUCAUGUCCCAGUGGACCCA
rnacentral:tRNA from 1 species